GAAUUUUGGACAAUGGGCGAAAGCCUGAUCCAGCAAUGCCGCGUGCAGGAUGAAGGCCUUCGGGUUGUAAACUGCUUUUGUACGGAACGAAAAGCUUUGGGUUAAUACCCUGGAGUCAUGACGGUACCGUAAGAAUACACACCGGCUAACUCCGUGCACGCACCCGCGGUAAGACGUAGGUUGCAAGCGUUAAUCGGAAUUCCGGGGCGUAAAGCGUGCGCAGGCGGUUUUGUAAGACAGAGGUGAAAUCCCCGGGCUCACCCUGGGAACUGCCUUUGUAACUGCAAGGCUAGAGUACGGCAGAGGGGGGUGGAAUUCCGCGUGUAGCAGUGAAAUGCGUAGAUAUGCGGAGGAACACCGAUGGCGAAGGCAACCCCCUGGGCCUGUACUGACGCUCAUGCACGAAAGCGUGGGGAGCAAACAGG
rnacentral:rRNA from 1 species